rnacentral:lncRNA from 1 species
UCCAUGCGUGAUCCCGCCACUCUGGUUUCAGCAACCACCGUUCCCCUAUUCGCGAGGAUCAAUUUGCAACUCGGCACAGAUCCCGUUGGCUAUGACCGCAAAUAGUCAGUAGAGGAAUGGGGCAGCGCAGGAAGGUCUUGUCCACACCAUACCGGCCACUCGUGAUGGGUUCUGUUUCACCGCGGAACCACCUUCCACUCGUGAUGGGUUCACGAUGGAUUCCGACAUCGCAGAUGGGUUCCGACAUCGCAGAUGGGUUCCAUCGCGAUUCACUUUGGAACUUCAUCGCAGAUACGGUUGCGUAUCGCGGACCACCGAAGACGUGCACAGUGAGAGCUUUGAUAGACUUGACAGCAUAAGAGAUGCCUGCCACCUCCAUCCUCCACGUCACCUAUGCGGUACCGCAGAAUCACCAUCGCGGUGAUUCCGCGAAGGUGGAAACGUGGUCUGCGGAACGACACCAUGGUGAAUC